rnacentral:rRNA from 1 species
CCUACGGGGGGCAGCAGUGGGGAAUAUUGGACAAUGGGGGGAACCCUGAUCCAGCCAUGCCGCGUGUGUGAAGAAGGCCCUCGGGUUGUAAAGCACUUUCAGUGAGGAAGAACGCCUGGUGGUUAAUACCCAUCAGGAAAGACAUCACUCACAGAAGAAGCACCGGCUAACUCCGUGCCAGCAGCCGCGGUAAUACGGAGGGUGCGAGCGUUAAUCGGAAUUACUGGGCGUAAAGCGCGCGUAGGUGGCUUGAUAAGCCGGUUGUGAAAGCCCCGGGCUCAACCUGGGAACGGCAUCCGGAACUGUCAAGCUAGAGUGCAGGAGAGGAAGGUAGAAUUCCCGGUGUAGCGGUGAAAUGCGUAGAGAUCGGGAGGAAUACCAGUGGCGAAGGCGGCCUUCUGGACUGACACUGACACUGAGGUGCGAAAGCGUGGGUAGCAAACAGGAUUAGAUACCCUAGUAGUA